CGUAGGGUGCAAGCGUUAAUCGGAAUUACUGGGCGUAAAGCGUGCGCAGGCGGUUGUGUAAGACAGAUGUGAAAUGCCCGGGCUUAACCUGGGAACUGCAUUUGUGACUGCACGGCUAGAGUUUGGCAGAGGGGGUAGAAUUCCACGUGUAGCAGUGAAAUGCGUAGAUAUGUGGAGGAAUACCGAUGGCGAAGGCAGCCCCCUGGGUCAAGACUGACGCUCAUGCACGAAAGCGUGGGGAGCAAACAGGAUUAGAUACCCUGGUAGUCCACGCCCUAAACGAUGUCUACUAGUUGUCGGGUCUUAAUUGACUUGGUAACGCAGCUAACGCGUGAAGUAGACCGCCUGGGGAGUACGGUCGCAAGAUUA
rnacentral:rRNA from 1 species